GACGAACGCUGGCGGCGUGCUUAACACAUGCAAGUCGAACGGAAAGGCCCUGCUUUUGUGGGGUUCUCGAGCGGCGAACGGGUGAGUAACACGUGAGUAACCUGCCCUUGACUUUGGGAUAACUUCAGGAAACUGGGGCUAAUACCGGAUAGGAGCUCCUGCUGCAUGGUGGGGGGUGGAAAGUUUCGGCGGGUGGGGAUGGACUCGCGGCUUAUGAGCUUGUUGGUGGGGUAGUGGCUUACCAAGGCUUUGACGGGUAGCCGGCCUGAGAGGGUGACCGGCCACAUUGGGACUGAGAUACGGCCCAGACUCCUACGGGAGGCAGCAGUGGGGAAUAUUGCACAAUGGGCGGAAGCCUGAUGCAGAAACGCCGCGUGCGGGAUGACGGCCUUCGGGUUGUAAACCGCUUUCGCCUGUGACGAAGCGUGAGUGACGGUAAUGGGUAAAGAAGCACCGGCUAACUACGUG
rnacentral:rRNA from 1 species